UGCAGUCGAACGGAACAUGUCUAGCUUGCUAGAUGAUGUCGAGUGGCGGACGGGUGAGUAAUGCUUGGGAACUUGCCUUUGCGAGGGGGAUAACAGUUGGAAACGACUGCUAAUACCGCAUAAUGUCUUCGGACCAAACGGGGCUUCGGCUCCGGCGCAAAGAGAGGCCCAAGUGAGAUUAGCUAGUUGGUGAGGUAAAAGCUCACCAAGGCAACGAUCUCUAGCUGUUCUGAGAGGAAGAUCAGCCACACUGGGACUGAGACACGGCCCAGACUCCUACGGGAGGCAGCAGUGGGGAAUAUUGCACAAUGGGGGAAACCCUGAUGCAGCCAUGCCGCGUGUGUGAAGAAGGCCUUCGGGUUGUAAAGCACUUUCAGUUGUGAGGAAAGGUUAACGGUUAAUACCCGUUAGCUGUGACGUUAGCAACAGAAGAAGGACCGGCUAACUCCGUGCCAGCAGCCGCGGUAAUACGGAGGGUCCGAGCGUUAAUCGGAAUUACUGGGCGUAAAGCGCACGCAGGCGGUUAUAUAAGCUAGAUGUGAAAGCCCCGGGCUCAACCUGGGAAUAGCAUUUAGAACUGGCAGACUAGAGUCUUGGAGAGGGGAGUGGAAUUCCAGGUGUAGC
rnacentral:rRNA from 1 species